rnacentral:rRNA from 1 species
AGGGAUCAUUACAGAGUUAUCAAACUCCCAAACCCAUGUGAACCUACCUCUGUUGCCUCGGCAGGUCGCCGCGGCCUACCCUGUGAGGCCCUACCCUGUAGGGCCCCGCAUAGUGGUCGCGGUCCAGCCUGCCGAAGGCCCAACAAAUUCUGUUUACUAUUGUAUUCUGAAUCUAUAACUAAAUAAGUUAAAACUUUCAACAACGGAUCUCUUGGUUCUGGCAUCGAUGAAGAACGCAGCGAAAUGCGAUAAGUAAUGUGAAUUGCAGAAUUCAGUGAAUCAUCGAAUCUUUGAACGCACAUUGCGCCCAUUAGUAUUCUAGUGGGCAUGCCUGUUCGAGCGUCAUUUCAACCCUUAAGCCCUGUUGCUUAGUGUUGGGAGCCUACGGUCACCCGUAGCUCCUCAAAGUUAGUGGCGGAGUCGGCUCAAGCUCUAGACGUAGUAAAUAUUUAUCUCGCCUAUGGAUGAGUCGGUCCCCUGCCGUAAAACCCCCCAUUUCUAAAGGUUGACCUCGGAUCAGGUAGGAAUACCCGCUGAACUUAA